AGGGAAUAUUGGUUAAUGUGCGAAAGCGCGAACCAGCAACGCCGCGUGUGCGAUGAAGGCCUUCGGGUCGUAGAGCACUUUUUGCAGGGACGAGGAAGGACGGUACCUGCAGAAUAAGUCUCGGCUAACUACGUGCCAGCAGCCGCGGUAAAACGUAGGAGACGAGCGUUAUCCGGAUUUACUGGGCGUAAAGCGCGUGCAGGCGGCAUGGCAAGUUGGAUGUGAAAGCUCCCGGCUUAACUGGGAGAGGUCGUUCAAUACUGCCAGGCUUGAGAGUGGUAGAGGGAAGCGGAAUUCCGGGUGUAGUGGUGAAAUGCGUAGAUAUCCGGAGGAAGACCAGUGGCGAAAGCGGCUUCCUGGCCCAUUUCUGACGCUCAGACGCGAAAGCUAGGGUAGCAAACGG
rnacentral:rRNA from 1 species